CAAAAUAUUAGGUUGUCAUCAGUGAAUAAAAGAUGUGAAAUUCUCAAACCACCUUAGCAUGUAUUGAUAUCAUGAAUCCUUUCCUCUGUCUUUGCCUCCCUCAAUAGGACUGACAUCCCCUUCUACACAUAGGAGCAAUGAGUAUGGUUGUAUAAAUACUUUGGGCUCACACACUCCAUAGUGAGCUCUAUCUACUUUGUCAAAACCUAGCUUGUGCAUGAAUUUCUCCAGAAAGCCCAAUUCCACCCAAUUGUAGGCCUUCCUCAUAUUACGCUUCAACACCACCUAUCCCUAUUUCCUUAUUCUUUUUGUUCUCAAGCUGUUCAACACUUCAAAAGCUACAGUUAUGUUAUUAGUAAUCAAUCUCCCUGGUACAAAUUCUGAAGCCUAAUCAAUUUUUUUUUUCCUAUUAUAUUGUUGAUGAUCUCUGAGGUAGUUAAAUUUUGCUGUUCUAUUUUCUUGAUUAGAAAUCUGAGGAAAUUUUGCCUUUAGGUAUUUAAAGUUUGUGGUGAGUUUGCCCUGAAAUUAGGCCUGUAAUAGUUAAAUUAGGCUCCUUUUGGUGCAGGCCUUCUUGUUUUCUAGGUCCCAAAAAGUAGAAUAUUUGGACCCUUUUUCCUAGAGAGGUUUCCUUCUCUUUGGACUUAUAAAAAAAGGCACGUGAUUUUGUUUUUCUUCGCAACAUUAACCUUUUUGAAAUCUGAAAAUGGAAAUUUGCCUUUCUUCCCAAUGUAUUAUUUUUUUUCUUUCAGUUGUACGAAGCUUUGGAAAUUUGCCUUUUGGUUUUCGGAUUUUGUGUUGAGUUUUCCCUAGAAUUGGGCCUGUAAUAGUUGAAUUUAGUCUCCCUGUUGUUGUUUUUUUAGAUCCAACAUAAGAAACUUUAAUAUAAUUUUUUUUAACUUAAACAAUUUGAUUCUAGAAAUGAAUUUUUUUCUAGAACUCCUGGUGUGUUUGUGUGUGGAUUAUCUUUCCUUGUAAUAUUGUAGUUGAUGGAUUAACUUCUAUCAAUUAAAUAUCAUUAAUUGUGUUAUUGCUGAUCAGAAUAGCCUUUAUUGUUGUGCUCCUAAAAAACUUUUAUUUUAUUUAUUUAUUUAGUUAAUUUUGUUUUCUUUUGUAGUGUAAUUUGGAAUUAGAAACUUCUCAUCAUUCUAUUUGUCAUUUAGAAACCAAUAGUAGAUAAAUAGGCUAUGCAAUGCUGGAUGGCAAAGAUGAUCAUACUACCACCAGAGCACAGGGUUCGGUGCUUACUACAACGACUACUACACUGUCUUUGAGUGUCUGUGGGGUUGAUGCUAUUUCUAUUUGGCUACAAGGAAACUUGAGGUUAAUUAAAGUGAAAAUGGUAAAAAGGUUUUGAAUCAUAUGGGCUGAAAUAGCGGUUCCUGACUUAUUUCUUGAGUUCUUCAUUUUUUGGUUUCCCUUCAAAACACACACACACUCUCUCUCUCUCUCUCACACACACACACAUAUAUAUUUCUAAUCCUAUAAUUUUCAUAGAAACUUUUCAUAACACAUAAGUGCAACUCUAGCAAGCCAGUUGUGUUUGGCUUUGCAGGCAAUUUCUUUCCUUUAAAUAAAAUGUAUUUUUCCAAAAAAAAAAGGACCUUAUUGUGGUUUCUGUUGUUUUGUAUAUAUGUUUUCUAAAGGUACCAGUUGGGGCUAUGCCAAAAAGCAGUGGAGGAGAAUAUUUUUGUUUAUUUGGGGACAGGUUGUGGGAUGACCAAUUGAUGUAUUGCUUAUAAUUGAGGUGGGUCACUUGAUAAGGAAGCCCCAAAAGAGCAUACGUGUCAUUCUCGCCCCUACGAUGGCUCUAGUUCAGCAGAUCAUGCUCAUGUAACUGGUCAGAUGCUUGUGAAUUGACUAUUAUCUUGUGGACGUAAAGAGGACUUGCUGAUGACUGCAGAAAUGGUGGUUUGUUCUGCUUCUGCUGAUGACUGUGCUGUUAAGCCUUUGACAAUUUCAGCUGCUAAGUGGGGAAAGAGGCUUUUCAUAGGAUGUAUUCCGAUUGAAGCAACUGUUGAUAAUGUGCAGUCGUAUUUCAGUUAGUUUGACCAUGUUUUGGAUGUGUAUAAGUAGCUGAUUUUUAUCUAGUUUAAUUGAGAAUGCGUGGAUGGUUAGCGGAUGAAAAUAUUAUUUAAGUCACUUCAACCAAUGCUAUGAAGCAUGUGAUAAAUUUAUUGUUGAACCAGCUUGGGUUUGUUCAAGGUUUUAAAAUGGGCUUGCUUGCAGAGCGAUACUUUUACCACCUUAUAGCAAAAAUUCAAUAUUGUGCAACACUAGUAAUGGCUGAAAUUAAAAUGUUUGAGAUAUGACUACAGGUGAGAAAAUGAACACAGAUGAACACUUAGAGGUAAUACCAAUUGGAAACAGAUGAGAUGCUCUACCAAAUUCAUCCUGGGACGAGAAUUGAAAAUUAGUAACUGCUCAGAGGCUUUUCUUGGUACUAAUUGUAAUUGAUUGCAUGGUUUUUUCAUGUUGUUAUUUGCACAUCGUGUAAGUUCAUUUUGUACUAUAAUUGCAUAUUCUGUGUUAUAUAAUACGUACUAGUAAUUAUUAGAUCCUUUUUGGAUUUUGCCCAUACGUUAUUGGCAUAACUAAUAUCACAAUUCUUUUUGCUUCAGGAUGAAAGGAAAAUGUAUCAUAGGGGGUUCGGUUUUGUGACAUUGUCUGAUGAAAUUUCAGCUAAGUACACUUCUCAGAAAAUACAUAGGAUAAUGGGGCAGACGAGUGUCAGUAGAUGUUAUCAUGAUAUAUGACAGACAGGUGCUUGGGUCCAAUAGGCACUCGUGGGUAGCCGAGUAUAAAAGGAAAGAGCCUUAGAAGUUUCUUGUGCAGAGUGGUUGGUGCGCUAAUGUCUAUCACUUAUGGUCUCAGAGAAACUCAAGCAUUCAUGGAGAGGUCAAAACAUAGGAAAUCAAAGUGAAGAGAGUGGGAAAGGAUGUCAAGUUUAGAAUGAUGUUCAAAGGAAAUCAUGGUGAAGAGAGUUAUUUGUUAUAACUGGAGUGUACCACAUUCCAUCAUUCAUGGCUUCUGCAUAAAAGUUUUGCUAGUAGCUGGGUUUGUGAUUGGUUUUUUUUUUUUUUUUAAAGAAGAUGUUGGAUAAGAUUAACACCAAUCUGAUGCUGUGGUUUAGUCCGAAGACUCAUCUCUAUGUAAAACUGGGUUGGGAUGAUGUAAUACUGUUUCAAAUGGAGAUGAUCUUUUAAAGUAUUGGUCAGGGCAGGUGCCUUUGUUGUAGAUUUGUAGUGGACUAACUGAAGUCUCAAUGUUCUAAGUGUUUCUGUUUGUAAUAGUAAAAAAUUAUGAGUUAUCAAAAAAAGAUAGAAGAAUGCUCAGUUCCAUUUUUU